AGUAAACGGCGGCCGUAACUAUAACGGUCCUAAGGUAGCGAAAUUCCUUGUCGGGUAAGUUCCGACCCGCACGAAAGGCGUAACGAUUUGGGCACUGUCUCAACGAGAGACUCGGUGAAAUCAUAGUACCUGUGAAGAUGCAGGUUACCCGCGACAGGACGGAAAGACCCCGUGGAGCUUUACUGUAGCCUGAUAUUGAAAUUCGGCACAGCUUGUACAGGAUAGGUAGGAGCCUUUGAAACGUGAGCGCUAGCUUACGUGGAGGCGCUGGUGGGAUACUACCCUAGCUGUGUUGGCUUUCUAACCCGCACCACUUAUCGUGGUGGGAGACAGUGUCAGGCGGGCAGUUUGACUGGGGCGGUCGCCUCCUAAAAGGUAACGGAGGCGCUCAAAGGUUCCCUCAGAAUGGUUGGAAAUCAUUCAUAGAGUGUAAAGGCAUAAGGGAGCUUGACUGCGAGACCUACAAGUCGAGCAGGGUCGAAAGACGGACUUAGUGAUCCGGUGGUUCCGCAUGGAAGGGCCAUCGCUCAACGGAUAAAAGCUACCCCGGGGAUAACAGGCUUAUCUCCCCCAAGAGUUCACAUCGACGGGGAGGUUUGGCACCUCGAUGUCGGCUCAUCGCAUCCUGGGGCUGUAGUCGGUCCCAAGGGUUGGGCUGUUCGCCCAUUAAAGCGGUACGCGAGCUGGGUUCAGAACGUCGUGAGACAGUUCGGUCCCUAUCCGUCGUGGGCGUAGGAAAUUUGAGAGGAGCUGUCCUUAGUACGAGAGGACCGGGAUGGACAUACCUCUGGUGUACCAGUUGUCGUGCCAACGGCAUAGCUGGGUAGCUAUGUGUGGACGGGAUAAGUGCUGAAAGCAUCUAAGCAUGAAGCCCCCCUCAAGAUGAGAUUUCCC
rnacentral:rRNA from 1 species